rnacentral:piRNA from 2 species
UGACUUAAGCUAGUGUGUUCUGCCUC